UACGUAGGGUGCGAGCGUUAAUCGGAAUUACUGGGCGUAAAGCGUGCGCAGGCGGUUGCUGAAGUCCGUUGUGAAAGCCCCCGGGCUUAACCUGGGAAUGGCAGUGGAAACUAGGCGACUUGAAUCUGGCAGAGGGGGGUGGAAUGCCACGUGUAGCAGUGAAAUGCGUAGAGAUGUGGCGGAACACCGAUGGCGAAGGCAGCCCCCUGGGUCAAGAUUGACGCCUCAGGCACGAAAGCGUGGGGAGCAAACAGG
rnacentral:rRNA from 1 species